UGUGGAGAUGUUUGCAAGGUGAAGGAGAAAGAUGUCAACAUCCCGCCAUGUUGGUGUGGAGAUGUUUGCAAGGUGAAGGUGUCCACCGACCGAAAGAAAGCAUGGACGGAAGGGCGGAGAUAUUUUGUAUGCCCGAACUAUGCUUAUGAUCGUGCACUUCCAACUAACGCCUAUGACCAACCACCGAUAAGCUCGAGAAGUACUUCACUGCCUGCUCUAUGCAACACUAAGCUCGAGAAAAUGUUACUCUCAAAUGUGUGUCAACACUAA
rnacentral:rRNA from 1 species